UCAUCAUCGUCUCUGUGGGUGUAGCAGCACUCAUAACAGCUGUUGUGGUUGUGCGCGUAUGGACCAGAGGUAAAUCAGCACAGACGGCUGAAAAGACCGUGUGUAAUAAUGAAAAUAAUGCACUGUGAUAUUUUCUGCUCUUCUGAUGGAGUUUCACUG